GAUGAACGCUAGCGGCAGGCCUAAUACAUGCAAGUCGAGGGGUAACAGGAAGUGCUUGCACUUCGCUGACGACCGGCGUACGGGUGAGUAUCGCGUAUACAAUCUGCCUCAUACUAGGGAAUAGCCCGAAGAAAUUUGGAUUAAUGCCCUAUAGUAUCUUUUUAAGGCAUCUUAUUAAGAUUAAAGUUUUCGGUAUGAGAUGAGUAUGCGUUCUAUUAGCUAGUAGGUGUGGUAACGGCACACCUAGGCUACGAUAGAUAGGGGCCCUGAGAGGGGGAUCCCCCACACUGGUACUGAGACACGGACCAGACUCCUACGGGAGGCAGCAGUAAGGAAUAUUGGUCAAUGGACGAAAGUCUGAACCAGCCAUGCCGCGUGCAGGAUGACUGCCCUAUGGGUUGUAAACUGCUUUUAUAUAGGAAGAAAAACUUUCUCGUGAGAAAGCUUGACGGUACUAUAAGAAUAAGGAUCGGCUAACUCCG
rnacentral:rRNA from 1 species